rnacentral:rRNA from 1 species
GACGAACGCUGGCGGCGUGCUUAACACAUGCAAGUCGAACGGAAAGGCCCUUCUCUAGUGGCGUACUCGAGUGGCGCACGGAUGAGUAACCCGUGGGUAACCUGCCCUUGACUUUGGGAUACCUUCAGUAACCUGGGGCUAGUACCGCAUAGGAGCUCCUGCUCCAUGGUGGGGGUUCGAAAGUUUCGGCGGUUGGGGAGGGACUCUCGCCUUCUCAGCUUGUUGGUGGGGUAGUGGCUUACCAAGUCUUUGGCCGCUCUCCGGCGUGAGAGGGUGACCGGCCACAUUGGGAGUGAGAUACGGCCCAGACACCUACGGGAGGCAGCAGAGUGGAAUAUUGUACAAUGGGCGGAAGAGUGAUGCAGAAACGCGGCGCGCGGGAUGAGGGCGUUCGGGGUGUAAAACGCUUUCGUCUGGGAGGAAGCGUAAGUGACGGUAAUGGGUAAAGAAGCACCGGCUAACUACUU